GCACCGUGCGCGAGUUAACGACUCUUGUCGGCACCGUGGCCAAAAUCAGCGGCGCGAUAUCCGCAACAGCAAGCCCACCAACAGCAAGCCCACCAAAAUCAGCGGCGUGAUAUGGUGAUUUAUGUUUUUCCGGCAAAUACGAAGCAAAUACAUAUUCUAUCGUAUCUCUCCUACGUACGCUCGCCCCUAGCCUGUACUCGCCUACUUCGCCCGUCCACUACCCCCGUGACCAGGCUGCCCCAUCCACCAAGCCAUUCAAAUUUCGAAUCUCAUCAGGUAGACUGGGCUACAUCGACCUGCUGUGCCACGCCCUACCCAUCGUCGCCCCUGGAUCGCGGAUCUUGUGAGGUUUACGAUUCAAGAAUGAAUCACGGUGGCGAGUCAUUCAUGGACCUGCUCUUCAGUUUUUGUUCCCAACCGGUCGCACCCGAGGGCAUCCCAGAUCUGGCGUUGCUAGAGGAAGGGGAGGAAGGGGAGGAAGACGACGAGUGCGGAGGUGGAGGGGAAUAUGGUGGUAACGACUCACUCAAGUUCUGCAUCUCAAGUUCAUGAAGGCAUGGAAGAUUUUCUCAAUGUCCCAGAUUGUGACAACACCGACAGUUACAAAGAGCCUCCAUCUGAAUCCCAUCGCACUCCAAGCCCGUGGCCUCAAAGGAUCCGUCUCGGUAAGAUACCUGACCGCCACGCCUCAUUGUUGGGAAGGAAAAGUGCUUUGAAGAAGGCCAUGAGAAACUUCGCAGAUAAGAAGUCAGCUAUCAUCGUCAAGCCAGAGAUCAGUCAGGAAUUUGACUCUCUGGACGAAGUGUACGACUUCUACAAUCUAUACUCUUGGGAGACUGGUUUUGGCAUCAAGUAUGGGCAAUGCAUAAGAAAUGUUGACAAGUGCAAGACGGUCCAGGACAUAGUAUGUGGAUGCGCGGGGAAACCACGUAGGGAGAAUUCACAUUCAGUAUGCUGCCAAUGUCCUGCACUUAUGAGGUUGCAUCGCACAUCAGACCAUGGCUGGUUCAUCCAUGAAAUGAAGUAUGAGCAUAAUCACGGUAUGACACAAACAUGUGGAGAGAAGUUGCACUAGCCAUCUCACAGGCACAUUGAUGCCCAUGCCAAAGACAUUGUCAUGCACCUUAGGAACAACAACAUAUCUUUAAGCAAGCUUUCGGUGUGAUCGCAAGAUUUUUUGGAGAUAUGGAAAACCUGGCCUUUAACAAGAGGUCGCUGUGCUAUCUGUGCAAGAGGAUGAAUCAGCAACAGGGAGAUGAUGACAUCAGGAAGACAAUUCAGCCAUUCUCUGAAUUGAAAGAGAGGGAUCCAAAUUUUGUUGACAGUGUGCUUGUGGACGAAGAGAGCAAAAUCAGAGCACUGAUGUGGACAGAUGGUAAGAGCCUCCACCAGUACAAAUUCUUCGGAGACGCAAUAACCUUCGACACAACAUAUCGUACCAACCAGUACGACAUGCCUUUCGGAUUGUUUGUUGGUGUCAACAAUCACUUCUAGAGCAUCAUACUUGGAGGAGUAUUGCGUCACGACGAAAAAACUGAGACCUUCGAGUGGGUGUUCAAGGAAUUCGUGUCCUUGAUGGGAGGGAAGGCUCCAAAAACAAUUCUAACGGAUCAAGCCCGUGCAAUGGAGAAGGCUAUAUCUUCCCAGUGGCCUGAUACUACACACAGAUGGUGCAAAUGGCAUGUACUACAAAAAGCAAGGGAACACCUAGGACCUGUUUAUUCCAAAAAUAGUGACUUCAGAGACGAGUUUCACAAGCUGCUAGAGUAUAUAGUGACAGUAGACGAGUUCGAAACUGCAUGGGCUUGCUUAAUUGAGAAAUAUCAACUUGAAGACCAUCCAUGGCUCACUCAAAUAUACGAAGUUAGAGCAAAAUGGGCAAAGCCAUAUUUUGCAGGAGUCUUCUGUGAAAGGAUGACCAGCACACAACGUUUGGAGAGUGCAAACCACAUGCUCAAGCACUACGUGCAACCGGCAUCGUCUAUGAACAACUUUGUUAGGCAGUAUCAGAAAAUAUUGUUCGACCGCCAAUCAGAGGAAGAUUUUCAAGAGAAGAAGACUUGUGUGGGUGGCGUUGUUUUUAACCUUGGACUGCCACUAGAAUACCAUGCGAGCAAGGGCUAUACCGCAGCUAUGUAUGAGCUGUUUCAACAUGCAAUUUAAUUGUCAGGGUCAUAUGUGUUACAAGAGGCAUGUCGGACAGAGCUAGGUGUGGUGUACAUCGUUAACCACAUCUAUGCAGAGAGGAGGCAAGCUUGGUCCAGGACACAAUAUCAUGUUCUGUUUGAUGAGGAAUCUGGAGGAUAUUUAUGUGAGUGUGGUCUUUACUCACACAUGGGCAUGUUGUGUUGCCAUGCUAUCCAGGUCAUGCUAAAUUUGGGAGUUAGGGAGAUCCAACAUGUACACAUCAUGAAGAGAUGGACAAAGAAUGCUUGUGAGAACCUGCCAGAGCAUCUGAAGAUAUAUCAAGCAGGCAAUUCCGCACUGAAGGACGCAACUUACCGACACUCUAGCUUGUACAGUAAGGCACUCGAGAUUGUACAGAUGGGGGAUAAGAACACCGAAGCUUACAUAGCUGCAAUGAAGCAGUUACUAGAUGCAAUAAGUGUUCUAAACGAUACCAACCAGGAGAGUGAUGGGCUGGGAUUACAUGAUAAGGCAGCGGCUCCAGUGCACGACCAAGAUAUGCCUGUUACACCAGGAGCAAACAAACUGUCAGGAUCGAUGAAUGUUGUAUCACGCAAGAGGGACCGAGGCAGGCCAACAAAUGCAAGAGCAAAGCCAGGUUAUGAAAAUGUCAGUAAACCAAGAUCAAAGUUUUGCUCUGUGUGUAGAGGGAGGGGUCAUAAAGCAUCUAAAUGCCCCUCAUAUGGAGGCGCAACAAAGAAGCAAAGGAAAGUCCCGAAAUGUACCAAGUGCGACCUGGAAGGCCACAAGAGGAAUAGCUGCUCUGGAAGCUUGUUCGGCGUCUUCCAAUGAGAAUAUCAUGUUAGAGAUAGCACUGCCCACAGAAUUUGUGACAUGCCUGGCUUGUGCUUGUUUUUGGUAGCGAAGGUCUUGACGUGCUGUUGACAAAUAUGAAAAUUCUUUUUUCCACGGAACAAUAAGUUUUUUGGUGGCCAAUUAGUGAACAUGUUUAAUUCAAGACAUGUAAACUUGGCAAUGUUACAAGGAUGUGUAAAGUUUGCCAUUGUACUAAUGUGAGUACAAAGUGCAACCAAAAAUCUUAAUGGGAUGUUCAAUUAUGACAAAA